AUGCCCCUGGACUUCACCAAGCACUUCGUCGCGGUGCCGAUGGAGUUCAAGCUCAGGAACAACACCGGCUGCUCCUGGAAGGUGAUGGUGAAGCUGAGGAAUGGCAGGGUGACCCUGGAUCAGGGUUGGGCCACCUACGCAGCCAUUCAUCAGAUAAAGAUCGACUACAUGGUGACGUUCAAGCUCCUCACUCCCGACACCCUCAAGGUCAUCAUCUUCGACGACGAUGGCAUUGAGGUCGUCAACAAGUGCGGGAAGCACGACGAAGCCUUCGCCGCCAAGGAGUAG
rnacentral:rRNA from 1 species